CCAAACUAAUUUUAGUGAAACUGUCUGAACAAACCAAGUACCAAAAACUGAACUUUACUCACUCCAACUCCCUCUCUCUCUCUCUCCACUCGCCGGCGGUGAAAAUUCAUCCUUCACGAGCUUCGUCGUUCUUCACAAGCUUCUCGAUCUCUGUUGUUCUCUUUUCAACGAAAUUUCCCGUUUCAAUUUCCUUACAAUUUUCAACUUAAUUUGAGUUUUCGUUGCUUGAACGAUCCAAAAAAAAUACUUCUCCCAGCCGACGGAUCGUGCUGGGUUUAUAUGGGCGAAACGAUGAUACGCAUCACGAUGAGGUUGUGGAUGUUCUGUUUUUCUUCUUCUGAUUGAAAUGGUGGAGAAAUUUGUGUGAACAGGAGAGGAAGCCUAAUGAAGCAGAAGGUUGCACAGCGGAAGGCUCUCUUCAAAUGGAGGAGGAAGCUUGCUUUUGUUCUAUUGUUUGUAUUUUGCUUCGGGAGCUUAGUUAUGAUGCAGUCUCGGUAUGGUCGGGUUAUGAUGCUGGCGUCCUUGCAUUUGCAUCCUCAAUCGGCUCAUGGACCGAAAGUCGCAUUUCUGUUCAUAGCUCGGAACCGGCUUCCAUUGGACAUAGUGUGGGAUGUGUUUUUUCAGGAAGGGGAGAAUAAGUUUUCGAUCUUUGUUCACUCGAGGCCAGGAUUUUUAUUUAACAAGGCGACUACAAGAUCGACCUAUUUUUUGAAUCGUCAAGUUAAUGAUAGCAUACAGGUAGACUGGGGUGAGGCAAGCAUGAUUGAAGCAGAACGUAUCUUGCUUAGACAUGCACUUACUGAUUCUUCAAAUCAACGAUUUGUUUUUCUUUCUGAUAGCUGCGUACCAUUAUACAACUUCAGCUACACAUAUGACUAUGUCAUGUCAACUUCAACUAGUUUUGUGGACAGUUUUGCUGACACAAAAGAAGGGCGGUAUAAUCCGAAAAUGGAUCCAGUAAUCCCUGUUCAAAACUGGAGGAAAGGAUCUCAGUGGGUUGUAUUGACAAGAAAGCAUGCGAAGGUUGUUGUGAAGGACAUUACAGUCUUUCCUAUGUUUCAACAGCAUUGCAAGAGGAAGUCACUACCAGAGUUUUGGCGGGAUCGUCCAUUUCCUAAUGAUCCAUCCAAGGAACACAAUUGCAUACCUGAUGAACAUUAUGUUCAGACUUUAUUGGCUCAAGAAGGACUUGAAGAAGAGCUCACCCGAAGAUCACUGACAUAUUCAGCAUGGGAUCUCUCAUACUCCAAAGACCAUGAACGCCGUAACUGGCAUCCUGUAACAUACAAAUUUUCAGAUGCUACGCUUGAUCUAAUACAAUCUAUAAAGGGUAUUGAUAAUAUAUAUUACGAAACUGAAUAUCGACGAGAAUGGUGUACUAGUAAGGGAAAACCAUCCAGAUGUUUUCUUUUCGCUAGGAAGUUCACCCGUCCAGCUGCCCUCCGCCUUCUUAAUAUGUCUUUGCUCGGAGUGAAGCCUCAUUAAUAUUUGUAAAGGCAUCGAUAUCUCGGUCGAGGAACACACUACAAGCAUACAAAAAAAUUACAAACUCAGGCCCGGUGUUAGCAGUUGCACGGAAUAAUUUCUCGAUAUAGAGGAUUUACAAAGAAGUUACUUUAGGAAGAUGGAAAAUUAUUGGCAUUGAUCCCAAUGAAGACGGAAUGACGAUGUGGGAAUUUGAGAGAGUGGUUUAUAAUGUCUUCAAAGAGGUAAAUUCUGUACGGACAUAUUAUUCUUUUUUUCUUUACUUUUUUCAUUUUAGGUUCAUCUUUAUAAAUGAGAAGCUAUGUGCUAAUAAAUAAUAAUAAUGCCCCAAUAAUAAUAUAAUAUAUACUUUUUCUCAUCA